GGGGUUGUGGCUCAGCGGUAGAGCAUCACCUGGCAUGUGCAAGGCCCUGGGUUCGAUCCUCAGCACCA
rnacentral:tRNA from 1 species